rnacentral:rRNA from 1 species
ACUGGCGCAGCUACCAUGCAGUCGAGCGGAACGAUGGAAGCUUGCUUCCAGGCGUCGAGCGGCGGACGGGUGAGUAAUGCAUAGGAAUCUGCCCGAUAGUGGGGGAUAACCUGGGGAAACCCAGGCUAAUACCGCAUACGUCCUACGGGAGAAAGCAGGGGAUCUUCGGACCUUGCGCUAUCGGAUGAGCCUAUGUCGGAUUAGCUAGUUGGUGAGGUAACGGCUCACCAAGGCCGCGAUCCGUAGCUGGUCUGAGAGGAUGAUCAGCCACAUCGGGACUGAGACACGGCCCGAACUCCUACGGGAGGCAGCAGUGGGGAAUAUUGGACAAUGGGCGAAAGCCUGAUCCAGCCAUGCCGCGUGUGUGAAGAAGGCUUUCGGGUUGUAAAGCACUUUCAGUGGGGAAGAAAUCCUCGGGGCCAAUACCCUCGAGGGAGGACAUCACCCACAGAAGAAGCACCGGCUAACUCCGUGCCAGCAGCCGCGGUAAUACGGAGGGUGCGAGCGUUAAUCGGAAUUACUGGGCGUAAAGCGCGCGUAGGCGGCGUGAUAAGCCGGUUGUGAAAGCCCCGGGCUCAACCUGGGAACGGCAUCCGGAACUGUCAGGCUAGAGUGCAGGAGAGGAAGGUAGAAUUCCCGGUGUAGCGGUGAAAUGCGUAGAGAUCGGGAGGAAUACCAGUGGCGAAGGCGGCCUUCUGGACUGACACUGACGCUGAGGUGCGAAAGCGUGGGUAGCAAACAGGAUUAGAUACCCUGGUAGUCCACGCCGUAAACGAUGUCGACUAGCCGUUGGGGUCCUUGUGACCUUUGUGGCGCAGUUAACGCGAUAAGUCGACCGCCUGGGGAGUACGGCCGCAAGGUUAAAACUCAAAUGAAUUGACGGGGGCCCGCACAAGCGGUGGAGCAUGUGGUUUAAUUCGAUGCAACGCGAAGAACCUUACCUACUCUUGACAUCGUGCGAACUUUCCAGAGAUGGAUUGGUGCCUUCGGGAACGCACAGACAGGUGCUGCAUGGCCGUCGUCAGCUCGUGUUGUGAAAUGUUGGGUUAAGUCCCGUAACGAGCGCAACCCUUGUCCCUAUUUGCCAGCGAUUCGGUCGGGAACUCUAGGGAGACUGCCGGUGACAAACCGGAGGAAGGUGGGGACGACGUCAGGUCAUCAUGGCCCUUACGAGUAGGGCUACACACGUGCUACAAUGGCCGGUACAAAGGGUUGCGAAGCCGCGAGGUGGAGCUAAUCCCGAAAAGCCGGUCUCAGUCCGGAUCGGAGUCUGCAACUCGACUCCGUGAAGUCGGAAUCGCUAGUAAUCGUGAAUCAGAAUGUCACGGUGAAUACGUUCCCGGGCCUUGUACACACCGCCCGUCACACCAUGGGAGUGGACUGCACCAGAAGUGGUUAGCCUAACUCGGAGGGCGAUCACCACGGUGUAUGGC